AAAACGUAGUAGAUAGAUUAAAGCUUCGGUCAUCCAAUACCAAUCAUCAUCAUGUGUUGUAAAGUAUACUAGCCUUUGACCCGCGCGUCCGCGCGGAUGUAUAUGUUUUAUAUAAUUAAAUGUUUUUGUUUGUUGUAAAAACAUAAUUGUGUUUCAUAGAUUAUCUAUUGUUUGACAUUGGUGUAUAUUUGUAAUUUUGUUUAGUGUCUAUUUUUUAACUAUCAGGUUGUAUACGUCUUUUAUUGUAUAUUUUUUAAUUUUACUUGGUAACAUUUGACAUUAAAAUGAUUAAUUAUAGAGUAUUUUGUUGAGAAAAUAUGUGUUGUGGUAAAUUAUACUAUAAAUGUGGUGAGUAAAAAUUUUUGAAGACAAUAUUUAAUAUGUAUUUUUUAAAAAAUAUUUAGACAGCAUCAAUAUUAACUAAACAUUUUUAUAGACAAUCUAUAGCAAUUAUAUAUAGCAAGCUGAAAUACAUAAAUUGAAUUGGGCCUUUUGUUAUGAAUUAUAAAUAGGAAAUUCAUAUUUAAGAAAAAAGAUAUUGGACCUUAAAAAUUCAAGGAAGCCCAUAUAACUAUUAUUUCCGGGAAAAAAACAGAAAAAUAUCUUGUACGUCUCUUUUUUUGUUCCCGUAGAAAGUUCUGUGUCUUCAACCUAUCUCUUCGUCGUUGUUGCCGUUCGUUCUGCUGGCGAGAAGUGCACAAACAGCUAUGAAGUUUUCACUUAAAAGAGAGCCAGAGUCUAGAUCUACUGAUGACUACUGGAGAUUUUGGGAUACAGAGGUGUGUAAUACCAAGAACGUUCAAUCGGUUAAAUCUCCAGUCAAAAAAAAACCUCAGCCCCUUACAGAUUGGUUAAGAAUCAGGCUGAACUUUGGUUUGUUCGCGGGUAGCAGCUGAAUAUUUCGAGGACUUCGUCUCUGGCUGAGAUCUUUAUUCCUUCUUAAGGGAGAAACUGAGGGACAGGGGACAUAAGUGAUCUAUAGAAAAGCUCAGCCAGAGACAUGGUGAAGGAGAGAGAGAUAAAAAAAUGUCGUAACAUCACAUAGCAAAGGGAAGGCAACUAACCAUGUAGUAAAUCUUUAAUGGAUGUGUUCUCAUUUAAAUUCAUUCGAUCAUCAUUUAGUACUAUGAUCAUAUGCUGAUUUUGAAUUUAUUUAUUGUUGGAAGUAUAUUGGAGGUGGAGAGAACCAGUACCAGUAAUCAAGAUGCAAAAGAAAAAUGCCAACUUGUCUGGACAACAGUCUUUUUCUAAGGUUAAGCAACUGCUGGGCGUGGGGGUAUAUGGCACACUGUCUUUGAUUAAAUCGAUACCUUGCAAAGAUAAUCAGUGUCAAUUCCCAGUCGUACAUUUCCUCUUUUCCGGUUCAUCAUAUUUGGAAUACAAUGUGCGUGAGAGUGCUCUGUAUGAGGAAAAGGAUGAGAAAAAUCUUGCGUAAGAAAGAGACGUUGUCUGGAUGAGAAUAAACUCUUUUGAGCAAUCAUGUUGUUGGAGAUUAUGAAGAGAUUUGAUGAGAAGGACGUUAAUAUGCAAAGGUGAUAACGUAACAGAUGCUUUCUAUCAAAGCUGAGACAGGAUUAAUGCGUGGACAAUGACAUGGAGUUGUAGCUUUCGUUAUUUUGGGGUUUUGAUUCUGCAUACCAAGAUAAACCGAGGUAUCAUAUAAACCGAUAUUAGAUGUUUAAGUAUAAUUCUGGAAAGCUAUGUAGGAGUGUCUCUAUUGACUCUAGAUUCAGUAGACAAAGAUGAACUAAGGUAGUAUCACAAUUGAAUUCGAUAUUGUAUGUUUAAGAAUUUAGAAUGACAAUAACGAUGAUUAAGAUGGUUUUGAAAUUUUCUGGUUUACUACUGGUUUUUUAAUUAUAUCUGUUAGUAACUAUUUUAAAUGAUUGGUAGGAUAGUGGUACGAUGUUAAUUAUAAUUGGAUUGUUAUUGAAUGGUUUACUUAUACAGAAAACGAUGGACUUGGUUUACUAAAUUAAAGAAAACGCUCAAUUUUAACCAGUGGCAUAGAGUGGUAAUUUUUGUGGAAAAGUCAGGGCUAAGUACAAAAUGUACUUCAGUUUUAAUAGUUUAGAUGAUUAUAAUUCAAAAACCAAUAAAGUUCUAUUGUUUUGACUUCACUGCCAACUGACUUUCCAGUUGCCAGCGAUAUGAAAAAGGCAUCAAAACCCAAAACUUUGACCUGAAAAUUAAAUGAUAAUUAUCAACUGAGCAUAAGAUCCAUAUCAAUAAAAGAAAAAAAAAAUAGUAAUAGAGUCAAAACUCUAAAGUUACCUCAGUAUUAGUCUCAGGAUUCUUGAGAAAUCAAGUACCAACUGAGCAGAUUUAACAGCCUUGCUACCUUGAUUGUUGGAAUGCCAUAUCAGUACGUCCAACACCACGACAGAAACGUGCGAAGGGGAUAAAACUUGCUUGGGAGCUUUCACGUCUUCCAAAUACCUUUUUGCCUUGACUCAGAAUUCACUCUUGUCUCAGUUUCACUCAUGAUAGUGACUGACCUGAGCUCUGAAUUAAACAAAACAUAGCGUCUAUUACUCAGAUUCAAGAGAAAAUUCACGAAAGAGUUCAUGCGAUGAUCAACAAUCAAGGGUCGGAAUCACAUAUACUAAUUUGAGCUAUCAUCUUUGUUUCCUUCUAAUCAAGAAACAUCCUUUAUCAAACAGCUGCGCAGGUAAGCACAUAAACUCUAUGAAGCAAAACCUCUUGCUCGAGAAUGGAAUCAUCUCCUCUCAUGCCCCUAUAUCUCAUAACACAAUCUCAAAAGGACCCUUUUGUUCUUUUAAUUUUAUAUGUCAAACGAAAAAUCAUAAAAUUAAAAUGAAAACGUUAAUAUUUUUUAUUUGAUUUAUACAAUUUGAUAAAAAAAAUAUUUCAAAAAUCCAAAAACAUUGUUUUCCAUAUUUUCGAAAAAAUCAUCAAAAUAUGAUUAAAAACGAUUUUAAAAUAUAUUUUUUUGAAUUUGAAAGGUAUAGAAUUUAAAUAUUUUCCCAUGGGUUCACUAAUCCAUAGGGGGGUUAGGAUUUAGUUUUGAUAACCGGGAAGGAUUUGACUUAGGAGUUUAGAUUUUGAUCAAAAAAAAGAAUUAUGAAAUAGGGGUAUAGGAGACUCUAGGAGCCCAUAGGAGAUUUGGCAUUUCACAUUUGGGGCACGCUAGAAGUUGGCUCU